GUGGGGAAUUUUGGACAAUGGGGGAAACCCUGAUCCAGCGACGCCGCGUGAAUGAUGAAGGCCUUCGGGUUGUAAACUUCUUUUGGAGGGGACGAAUAAAUUGACGGUACCCUCAGAAAAAGCCACGGCUAACUACGUGCCAGCAGCCGCGGUAAUACGUAGGUGGCGAGCGUUACUCGGAAUUACUAGGCGUAAAGCGUAUGUAGGCGGUUGUAUAAGUCUAUGGUGAAAUUUCCUGGCUCAACUGGGAAGGGACAUAGAUACUGUAUGGCUUGAGUGUUGGAGGGGGAGACGGAAUUCCUGGUGUAGCGGUGAAAUGCGUAGAUAUCAGGAGGAACACCGAUGGCGAAAGCAGUCUCCUGGCCAAAUACUGACGCUGAGGUACGAAAGCUAGGGUAGCAAACAGGAUUAGAUACCCGGGUAGUCC
rnacentral:rRNA from 1 species